CCUACGGGCGGCAGCAGUGGGGAAUAUUGGACAAUGGGGGGAACCCUGAUCCAGCCAUGCCGCGUGUGUGAAGAAGGCCCUCGGGUUGUAAAGCACUUUCAGUGAGGAAGAACGCCUGGUGGUUAAUACCCAUCAGGAAAGACAUCACUCACAGAAGAAGCACCGGCUAACUCCGUGCCAGCAGCCGCGGUAAUACGGAGGGUGCGAGCGUUAAUCGGAAUUACUGGGCGUAAAGCGCGCGUAGGUGGCUUGAUAAGCCGGUUGUGAAAGCCCCGGGCUCAACCUGGGAACGGCAUCCGGAACUGUCAAGCUAGAGUGCAGGAGAGGAAGGUAGAAUUCCCGGUGUAGCGGUGAAAUGCGUAGAGAUCGGGAGGAAUACCAGUGGCGAAGGCGGACUUCUGGACUGACACUGACACUGAGGUGCGAAAGCGUGGGUAGCAAACAGGAUUAGAUACCCCAGUAGUC
rnacentral:rRNA from 1 species